AUGGAUGCAGCCUUCCUUGCGGAGUCAGAGGUGGGUGCUUGGGGUUUUGUAAUUCGGGAUGAAAUGGGAAAUUUCCUAGCAGCGGCGACUGGGAAGUUGCAGUAUGUCCGGAGCCCUCUGCACGCGGAGAUCAGUGCGUGCAUGAAAGCUAUUGAGGGCGCGGCAGAUCUGGGUGCUCAGCGUAUCAUCCUUGAAUCAGAUUGUCUAAUGAUGAUUAGUGCGCUCAAGGGCCGGGACUUCGACACAGCAGAGUUGGGUGUUCUCUUCAGGGAAGCUAGGAGUGCAUGCCAUGCUUCAUUUGGUUCCUAUGAGUUCAUGUUCUCUCGUAGGGAAUGUAAUAGGGUUGUGCACUCUCUGGCGCAAUUUGGUUUGAGGGCUGCUGUCCCUUUUUCUGUUUGGGCUGUUGAAGCCCCAGACUUCGUUUCGAUUCUGGUUGACACUGAGAUGGUGCGCCAGCUCUAA
rnacentral:rRNA from 1 species